rnacentral:lncRNA from 10 species
GUCCAACUUCAUUCUUUUGAAUGUAGAAAUGUAUCAUGAUGAGAUUUUUUUUUUGAGACAGGGUCUUGCUCUGUCAUCCAGCCUGGAGUGCAGUGGAGCGAUCAUAUCUCCUGGCAGCCUUGCCUGGGCUCAAGUGAUCUUCCCACGUCAGCCUCCUGAGUAAUAGGGACUACAGGCAUGUGCCACCAUGCCAGGCUUUUUAAUUUUUUUUGUAGAGACAGGGUCUCACUAUGUUACCCAGGCUGGUUUCAAAUUCCUGGCCUCAAGUGAUCCAUUUUAGCCUCCCAAGCACUGGGAUUACAGGUGACAGCCACUGUGCCCAGCCCAUAAUAAGAAAUUCUUAAUGCCAAAGAUUCUGAUUUGUUAAUAUCACAGUUCAUUAGACAGGUCAUUUGUCUAGGAAAUAAAUGGAUUUAGAAAAAAGUUAUUUUAUCUCCAGGGAUUUGGGCCUUUCAUCUUCUGGUAGAGGCAAGUGGACUUGGUGAUGUUUAUCUCAGGUGUGAUUGUUGAGAUACCUGGCAUUUACCAAGCUCAUGAAUCCUGAUUUUGAGUCAGUUUCUCAACAAGAGAGAUACGUCUUAAAAUUUAUUUUCCUCUGCCAAAGAGCAUCCAGAUUUGGGAUGUCAAUCGAACAGUCUUUCCAAUUCUAAAUAUACCAUGCAUUCCAAUGGUUAUCAUGAUUAUUCCAGAGAGGUGCACACAAGACUGAUAAUGCCAUUGCCAUAAUAUUUUUUAUUUAUUUUGAGAAGUUUCACUCUUGUUGCCCAGGCUGGAAUGCAAUGGCGUGGUCUCGGCUCACUACAACCUCCGCCUCCCACGUCCAAGUGAUUUUCCUGCCUCAGCCUCCCAAGUAGCUGGGAUUACAGGUCCCCCUCCGCCACCACACUUGGCUAAUUUUUGUAUUUUUAGUAGAGAAGGGGUUUCACCAUGUUGGCCAGGCUGGUCAUGAACUCCUGACCUCAGGUGAUCAACCCCCCUCAGCCUCCCAAAGUGCUGGGAUUACAGGCGUGAGCCACCAUGCCUGGCCGCCAUAGCAUUAUUAGUAGUUGAUCCAACCUGGGAACUCCACUCUAGGUAUUAUAAUCUGUGGUGUCCCUACCCCUUCUCCCAUAAAUUCAUAUGCUGAAGUGCUGACCCCCCAGCACCUCAGAAUGUGACCUUAUUUGGGCAUAAGGUCAUUGUAGAUGUAGUUAGUAAAGAUGAGGUCAUACUGGAGUAGAGUGGGCUCCUAUUCCAAUGUGACUAGUGACCUUAUAAAAAGGAAAAAUUGUACAGAGAACAUGAAGGCAGAGACUGCAUGAUGCCUGUACAAGCCAAGGAAUGCCAGAGAUUGCCAGCAAACCACCUGAAGCUUGGAGAGAAGCCUGGAACAGAUUCUCUCUCACAGCCCUCAGAAGGAACCAAUCUUGUCACAACUUGAUUUGGGGCUCAAUUCCAUGAGCUCCUACAAAUCCAUCACCCACGUAACCAACAUCCAAAUCAAGAAUUAGAGCACUUCCAUCACCUCCGAAAGUUAUCUUGUGCCUCUUUUCUUACUAUACUAUUAAUGCCCAGAGGCAACUAUUGUUCUGACUUGUUCCCCUAGGUUUCCCAUUCCUAAGCACCAUGUAAACUUAAUUACACAGUAUGUACUCUUUUGUGUCUAGCUUCUUUCACUCAAUGCUUUUUUGAAAUUCAUCCAUUCACGUUGUUGCAUAAAUCAGUAGUUUGUUCCUUUUUAUUACAGAGUGGUAUUCCACACCAGUUUAUCUGAUCUCCUAUUGAGAAGCAUUUGGGUUAUUGUCAAUUUUUUGUUAUUAUGAAUGAAGCCUCAAUAAACACUUUUGGUGAACAUGAUUUCCUUUUUUUCCUUUUUUUUUUUUUUUUUUGAGACAGAGUCUCGCUCUGUCACCCAGGCUGGAGUGCAGUGGCGCUAUCUCGGCUCAUUGCAAGCUCCACCUCCAGGGUUCACACCAUUCUCCUACCUCAGCCUCCAGAGUAGCUGGACUACAGGCAUCUGCCACCAUGCCUGGCUAUUUUUUGAAUUUUUAGUAGAGAUGGGGUUUCACCGUGUUAGCCAGGAUGGUCUUGAUCUCCUGACCUCAUGAUCCGCCCACCUCAGCCUCCCAAAGUGCUGGGAUUACAGGCGUGAGCCACCGCGCCCGGCCUUUUUCCAUUUUUUUUUUAGAGAAUACCGGGGAGUGGAAUUUCUGAGUCAUAGGUAGAUAUAUGUCAGCUUCUCUAAGAAACUGUUAGUGGUCCACAGGGGUUGAACCAUUUUACACUCAACACCAGCCAUGUAUAAAUGCCCCAAUUGCUGUACUUCCUCGCUAACACUUGGUCUUGGCUGCCCUUUUAACUAUUCCGGUGUUAUCUUAUUGUGAUUUUAAUUAGCACAUGCCUCAUGAAAUGUCAUCUCCUGGUGUUUUUCUUUUAAAUCAGCUUUAUUUACUUACAUACAAUACUACUCACCCAUUUUAAGUGCACAAUUUGACAAGUUCCCACAACUGUAUAUAGUCAUGUAUCCACCACCACAGUCAAGAUACAGAAUCUUCCCACCAUGCCCUCUACAGUCUACCCCUCCCUCAUCUAUAGUCCCUGGCAAGCACUGUUCUGCUUUCUGUGACUAUAGUUUGCAUUUUCUAGACCAUUAUGGAAUAACAAAGCAUGCAGUCUUUUGUUUCUGGCUUGUUCUCGCUUAGCUUCAUCCAUGGUGUUGCAUGAACCAAUUUAUUCCUUUUUUAUUUCUAUUUAUUUGUUUUGUAGAAACAGGGUCCCACUGUGUUGGCCCAGGCUGGUCUCGAACUCCUGGGCUCAAGUGAUCCUCCUGCCUUGGCCUCCCAAAGUGCUGGGAUUACAGGCGUGAGCCACAGCACCUGAACUCUUCCUAUUUAUUUAUUUAUUGAGACGGAGUGUUGCUCCUGUUGCCCGGGCUGGAGUGCAAUGGGGCGAUCUCGGCUCACCGCAACCUUCUGCCUCCUGGGUUCAAGGGAUUGUCCUGCCUCAGCCUCCCGAGUAGCUGGGAUUACAGGCAUGCACCACCAUGCCCAGCUAAUGUUGUAUUUUUAGUAGAGAUGGCGUUUCUCCAUGUUGGUCAGGCUGGUCUCAAAACUCCCGACCUCAGGUGAUCCACCUGCCCUGGCCUCCCAAAGUGCUGGGAUUAUAGGCGUGAGCCACCACGCCCGGCCCUCUGUUCCUUUUUUAUAUCUAAGGGUAUUCCACUGAACAGAGAUAUCACAAUUUGUUAAUUCACUGAUUGUUGGACAUAUGGUUGUUUCUAAAUUUUUGCUACUAUGAAUAAGCUGCUAUGAACAUUUGCCUGCAAGAGUGGAAUUGCUAGGUCAUACGUUAAGGACAUGUUUCACUUUGUAAGAAUCUACCAAGCUGCUUUCCAGUGCAUCAUUUUGCAUUCCCAUCAGCACCUUCUCAAUAUCUCAGUAUCAUACUGACACUUGGUAUUUUCAAUCUUUUAAGUUUGAGCCACUUUAGUGUUAAGUGGUAUCUUGCAGUUUAAACUGCUCUUCUCUGACUGCUAAUGAUGGGGGCUUUAAUCUUUCUAAGUUAACUAUCAAUACAUCCUCAGCUUUAAUUAUGGAUAAAAUCAAAGUAUAUUUUACCAUAGUUUGGUAAUAUUAACACGCUAUUGUAAUAGUAUUGUAACACUAUUGCAUGUUAUAGUGCUUUUACUUUAUAUGUUCUGGGUGGUAGUUUUGGUCUGUUUUAGAAUCCACUACUUUAAAUCUGCAUCAUAUAUUAUCAGGCACCUUGUUAGGUGCUUUUCCUCCAUAUUUUAGUCCCAUAACUAUUCUGAGUAGGCUUUGGUGUCCCCAGUUUACUAACUGAAACUUAAAUAUCUUUUCAAAAUUCUGUUAGCUUUGCCUGUGGCAGUCCCUGGCAUUCCAUGUAUCUCAGUCUAUUAUAAUUAUGACACAGAUGGGUUUUAGAAAACCACCACCUGCUAUUGACCCUUCUUGUGUUUUCACCUGUAAAACAUUUGCCGAGAGCAACAUAUGACUGCUUGCAACUUUCACUGAUCCAACGCUGGUGAAGGGGCAAGCCAAAUGAGCUGGCAUAGAUCCCCGGAUAUUAAUGAGCGGGCAAACUCUGCUACAGGGGGAACUCUAAAAGGCCAAGAAGGGUUGUGAAAGGCUUGGUCAGAAUCUCAGGUGGCAAGAAAUGGAGCUCUCUUAGCCAUCUGAAAACCAUCAGUGUUUCCAAGUCUCACAGCAGUUGGGGGAUUCGAACAACAGUCACAGGUAAGCCUUAAUCUUAGAGGACAAAUCAAGGGGAGCCCAGGAGAGGAGAUCCCUGUCUGCCUUUGUUGGUCACCUAUCUUGGGUAACUAAUUCAGCUGAGAAGGAAGUAGAAAGGUCUUUGUGUCCAGAUGAUCAGUCUCCUUCACUGGCCCUCAGCAGCACUGGACUGCCCCAGAAGCCACUGGGUAUGUACUUUGGCUAGGGUGACAGGGGGAUACUCACCCUCAGCCAAACAGCUUGAAACCAAGAGAAGGUACCUGUAAUGACAACUGCCCCUUCGUACAGCUGUUAGGUCCAUAUAUCUGCUCUUUGGGUCCAGUUCCAAUCAAGUUCUCUUAUUUUCUGUACCCUGCUUCUCCCCUUUCCAGCCACCUGACACCCACUGUGCUUGCUUUCCCCUUCUUUUCAAAGCUUCUCUUGAAAUAAUUUAAUAAUCCCACUCAGUUCACAUACUUCUAAUGCUUAAUGUGCUUCCUUUCUCAGGGAUUCUGUGCUCUGACUGUGAAGUGUUUAACCAAAGAAUAAAUCCCCAGAGGAGUGAUAAUGUAAUAGGAGGGUGAAUGGUGAUGUUUGUGUGUGCACUGGGGUGAAGGUGAGGGCCAUGAGCUAUCUAGACCCUGUUCUGGCAUCUUCACUUCUAAAAUAUCUCGAUGGCAGCUCCACCUCCUGGAGGAGAGGGUUUUACGUUUCUUGCCUGUCUCUUCCCACCUAGGGCACAGGGCUUGGACAGCAAGUGGAGAAGGUGUGACCAUGCAAAGUGCCCUCUAUGUCCUACGUACUUUCACUACAUUUGGUUUAAAUCUUCGCAACCCUGCACUGUAGGUAUUAUAUUCAUACUACAAAGAAAUGGAGACUUAAAAGUUAGAUGACAUGCCCAAGGUCACACAGUAAGUGGCAGAACUGGGAUUUAAACCCAAGGUCAGCCUGAUUCAAGGUUCCCGAUCCUUUCCUGACACAAGGCCAUCUCUUCAUUACUAUUUCUUCUAAGAAACUGAGUUUCUCAUCAUUCCAAAGUGGAUGCAAAGUAAACAGCAGUGACUGCCCUCCUCCACUUUCCACCCCAAGCCCUUACUCCACUACUCCAGAAAUAGCCUGCACUUCAUUCCUUGUCUCAAGAACACUCGCCUCCCUUCCUCCAAAUAGACUAGGUAAGUUAUCAACUUAGGAAAACAACUGACAUAUUCUGACAAAUAUUUAUUCUACUAUACUCCCAAUUUAACCUUCCCAAAAAAAUCUCAUUCCUUCUCAAAAAUUCCUGCUUAGCUGAAUACCUCAUAUUGUGGGCAUUCAAUACAAAAGUAUAUAUGCCAACUGCUUUAUAAGGCUGCGUGGCCACCACUGGCU